GACGAACGCUGGCGGCGUGCCUAAUACAUGCAAGUAGAACGCACAGUUUAUACCGUAGCUUGCUACACCAUAGACUGUGAGUUGCGAACGGGUGAGUAACGCGUAGGUAACCUGCCUGGUAGCGGGGGAUAACUAUUGCAAACGAUAGCUAAUACCGCAUAAUAUUGAUUAUUGCAUGAUAAUUGAUUGAAAGAUGCUAUUGCAUCACUACCAGAUGGACCUGCGUUGUAUUAGCUAGUAGGUGAGGUAACGGCUCACCUAGGCGACGAUACAUAGCCGACCUGAGAGGGUGAUCGGCCACACUGGGACUGAGACACGGCCCAGACUCCUACGGGAGGCAGCAGUAGGGAAUCUUCGGCAAUGGACGAAAGUCUGACCGAGCAACGCCGCGUGAGUGAAGAAGGUUUUCGGAUCGUAAAGCUCUGUUGUAAGAGAAGAACGGGUGUGAGAGUGGAAAGUUCACACUGUGACGGUAUCUUACCAGAAAGAGACGGCUAACUACGUG
rnacentral:rRNA from 1 species